UACGUAGGGUGCGAGCGUUAAUCGGAAUUACUGGGCGUAAAGCGUGCGCAGGCGGUUAUGCAAGACAGGUGUGAAAUCCCCGGGCUCAACCUGGGGACUGCAUUUGUGACUGCAUAGCUAGAGUACGGUAGAGGGGGAUGGAAUUCCGCGUGUAGCAGUGAAAUGCGUAGAUAUGCGGAGGAACACCGAUGGCGAAGGCAAUCCCCUGGACCUGUACUGACGCUCAUGCACGAAAGCGUGGGGAGCAAACAGG
rnacentral:rRNA from 1 species